rnacentral:rRNA from 1 species
GACGAACGCUGGCGGCGUGCCUAAUACAUGCAAGUCGAACGACAGCAACCGGUGCUUGCCCUGGUCAAUCUAGUAGCGAACGGGUGAGUACCACGUGGGUAACCUGCCCAUCAGAGUGGGAUAACAGCCGGAAACGGAUGCUAAAACCGCUUACGUGUUCUAACCGGCUGGUUUGAAGAGUAAACUCCGCGCAGGCUUCUGUCUGCGGCUGACCCCCCGGUCCAUUAGCUAGUUGGUGGGGUAACGGCUCACCAAGGCCAUGACGCGUAGUCGACCUGAGAGGGUGGUCGGACACAUUGGGACUGAGACACGGCCCAAACUCCUACGGGAGGCAGCAGGAGGGAAUAUUCCGCAAUGGGCGCAAGUCUGACGGAGCAACGCCGCGUGAGUGAAGAAGGUUUUCGGAUUGUAAAACUCUGUUGUUAGAGAAGAACAAGUGUCAGAGUAACUGUUAGCGCCUUGACGGUAUCUAACCAGAAAGCAACGGCUAACUACGUG